UCAUUAUCACUUAAUUGAAGCAACUGAGGCAGCUAAACCUGUGCUUGGGAAAUAUUACCGGGAGCUAGAGAAGUCAGGGCCUUUACCUUUUCACCUAAUUGGAAAUUUGAUAAGAAGCUUGAAGAAAGAUCACUACGUUAGUGACACUGGAGAUGUUGUGUACUAUCAGAGUGAUCCUCAACUCAGUGGCUCAUCAUCAGAGUAAAUUCUGAAUGUCCUCCUGGGCUGAGUUCUCACUUGAUUUUCAAGCUCUCCCUAGUAGAUUUCUUGGCUUAGCUAAGGAAAAUUAUUUGAGCUGUAUUAAGGAAAAUUAUUUUCCCCCAGAGUUGCUGAUGCCUAGUAAAGAUCAUCAUCAUGGUGAGUGUGAUCAGCGAUGCUUGCAGAAGAUGAUAGCAGCCUCUAUUUUUAGUCUAAGGCUAGGGAUAUAUGCAGGGUAUUUUCACAUAUGGACUGUAAUUCUGAGGUAAAGAGUGUAGCAUUUGUUGUUCUUGAAGAGGAAAUCAUCUCUUCAACAAAUUACAUCAUGUACU
rnacentral:misc_RNA from 1 species